UACGUAGGUGGCAAGCGUUGUCCGGAAUUAUUGGGCGUAAAGGGCUCGUAGGCGGUUUGUCGCGUCGGGAGUGAAAUCCACUGGCUUAACUGGUGGCUUGCUUUCGAUACGGGCAGACUGGAGGCAUGCAGGGGAGAACGGAAUUCCUGGUGUAGCGGUGAAAUGCGCAGAUAUCAGGAGGAACACCGGUGGCGAAGGCGGUUCUCUGGGCAUGUCCUGACGCUGAGGAGCGAAAGUGUGGGGAGCGAACAGG
rnacentral:rRNA from 1 species